rnacentral:rRNA from 1 species
GACGAACGCUGGCGGCGUGCUUAACACAUGCAAGUCGAACGGAAAGGCCCUGCUUUUGUGGGGUGCUCGAGUGGCGAACGGGUGUGUAACACGUGAGUAACCUGCCCUUGACUUUGGGAUAACUUCAGGAAACUGGGGCUAAUACCGGAUAGGAGCUCCUGCUGCAUGGUGGGGGUUGGAAAGUUUCGGCGGUUGGGGAUGGACUCGCGGCUUAUCAGCUUGUUGGUGGGGUAGUGGCUUACCAAGGCUUUGACGGGUAGCCGGCCUGAGAGGGUGACCGGCCACAUUGGGACUGAGAUACGGCCCAGACUCCUACGGGAGGCAGCAGUCGGGAAUAUUGCACAAUGGGCGGAAGCCUGAUGCAGCAACGCCGCGUGCGGGAUGACGGCCUUCGGGUUGUAAACCGCUUUCGCCUGUGACGAAGCGUGAGUGACGGUAAUGGGUAAAGAAGCACCGGCUAACUACGUG